rnacentral:tRNA from 1 species
GCUAACGUAGCUUAACCAAAGCACAAUACUGAAGAUAUUAAGAUGGGCCCUAGAAAGCUCCGUAAGCA